rnacentral:tRNA from 1 species
GGUGAGAUGGCCGAGUUGGUUAUGGCGUGAGGUUAAGGUCACCUUAGCAUCUAACUUCCUCAUGGAGCAAUCCGCGUGGGUUCGAAUCCCACUCUCAUCA